UACGUAGGGUGCGAGCGUUGUCCGGAAUUACUGGGCGUAAAGAGCUCGUAGGUGGUUUGUCGCGUUGUUCGUGAAAUCUCACGGCUUAACUGUGAGCGUGCGGGCGAUACGGGCAGACUAGAGUACUGCAGGGGAGACUGGAAUUCCUGGUGUAGCGGUGGAAUGCGCAGAUAUCAGGAGGAACACCGAUGGCGAAGGCAGGUCACUGGGCCGCAACUGACGCUGAGGAGCGAAAGCAUGGGGAGCGAACAGG
rnacentral:rRNA from 1 species